GAAGACUACGACGUUGAUAGGUUGGGUGUGUAAGCGCUGUGAGGCGUUGAGCUAACCAAUACUAAUUGCCCGUGAGGCUUGACCAUAUAACACCCAAACAAUU
rnacentral:rRNA from 1 species